rnacentral:rRNA from 1 species
CCCUUAGAUGUUCUGGGCUGCACGCGCGCUACACUGAUACUUUCAGCGAGUCCACCACCUUGCCUGGGAGGGUGGGGUAACCUCUGGAAAGUGCAUCGUGAUGGGGAUCGAUUAUUGUAAUUAUUAAUCUUCAACGAGGAAUUCCUAGUAAGCAUGUGUCAUCAGCCCGUGCUGAUUACGUCCCUGCCCUUUGUACACACCGCCCGUCGCUCCUACCGAUUGAAUGACUCGGUGAAAAAUUGGGACUGUGAUUGAAAUUGCUUCAUUGCGAAUUUAAUUAUGGAAACUUUCUUUAACCUAGGCAUUUAGAGGAAGGUGAAGUCGUAACA